rnacentral:tRNA from 2 species
UGGACGUUGGCGGAGUGGUUAACGCGCUUGAUUGUGGAUCAAGAUUUCACCAGUUCGAAUCUGGUACGCCCAC